rnacentral:lncRNA from 1 species
GUUGGGUUUCUCUUUUGCGCUUAAAGCUUUUAUCGUUUAACUCAUUCGAUAAUCGUUGUUUUUCUUUAUUGAUACGGGAACGUACGGUACUGUCAUGAACUGGGGGAAAUUCCUUGAUUAAGCAAUACCACCUAGGGAUAGGGGGUAGGACGAUCAAUUGUUUUUGCUUCUGUUUAUAAUGCAUUAUUAAUUACUAGGGGAGGCUAGGGAUAGCAAGCCAGUAAUUAGUAAUAGGCUCUUUUCGCCGAGGGAUCGGGUUAAGGGUAGACUAAGAAAGUUUGCAUGACAAUAUGAUAAUAAAGCGAAUUUAAUAAGAAUAGUAGAUAUAUGAGAGUGAUUGGGUGAAAUCUGAGUCCUAGCAACAAAUUCAUCUCAUUUUAUCAACAUCAUCCAUCCACU